AGUUACCGACUUGGGUCAACGUUGCUUAAAAUUACAAUCGAUUGAUAUGCGUUGUCACAACUAAGCCACACGUCCCUCAUGAUUGACAUUUAUUUAAA